GCCACAGCUAGCAUCACCUUAAGAAAGAACACCAGCGGGAGAAAUCUUAUUCUUUUCUUUCCUACCACAGGCCCCUGUCCCAGGGUGUCGGAGAUUCAAGAUUACCUCUGUAGCAGUUGCUCAUCAACAGGCUCAACACCAGAUCAUUGAAAUUAUUGGGAGUACCAGUGGAAUCUGCAGCAUGUCUGGGAGCCUAUUUUCUUUUGAGAACGCUGUCAGUAUGAAGUGAGUACAGGUGCUGAAGAUUACUGGGAAUUUUAAUGCUGUCUGUUGACUUUGCAAUGAGAACUGUUUCAUGCUGUUGAGAUGUCUAUGUUCAUGGAAAAGAAUAGACCUGCUCA
rnacentral:lncRNA from 1 species